rnacentral:rRNA from 1 species
ACGCUGGCGGCGUGCCUAAUACAUGCAAGUAGAACGCUGAAGGAGGAGCUUACUCUUCUGGAUGAGUUGCGAACGGGUGAGUAACGCGUAGGUAACCUGCCUGGUAGCGGGGGAUAACUAUUGGAAACGAUAGCUAAUACCGCAUAACAGUAGAUGUUGCAUGACAUUUGCUUAAAAGGUGCAAUUGCAUCACUACCAGAUGGACCUGCGUUGUAUUAGCUAGUUGGUGGGGUAACGGCUCACCAAGGCGACGAUACAUAGCCGACCUGAGAGGGUGAUCGGCCACACUGGACUGAGACACGGCCCAGACUCCUACGGGAGGCAGCAGUAGGGAAUCUUCGGCAAUGGACGGAAGUCUGACCGAGCAACGCCGCGUGAGUGAAGAAGGUUUUCGGAUCGUAAAGCUCUGUUGUAAGAGAAGAACGAGUGUGAGAGUGGAAAGUUCACGCUGUGACGGUAUCUUACCAGAAAGGGACGGCUAACUACGUGCCAGCAGCCGCGGUAAUACGUAGGUCCCGAGCGUUGUCCGGAUUUAUUGGGCGUAAAGCGAGCGCAGGCGGUUAGAUAAGUCUGAAGUUAAAGGCUGUGGCUUAACCAUAGUACGCUUUGGAAACUGUUUAACUUGAGUGCAAGAGGGGAGAGUGGAAUUCCAUGCGUAGCGGUGAAAUGUGUAGAUAUAUGGAGGAACACCGGUGGCGAAAGCGGCUCUCUGGCUUGUAACUGACGCUGAGGCUCGAAAGCGUGGGGAGCAAACAGGAUUAGAUACCCUGGUAGUCCACGCCGUAAACGAUGAGUGCUAGGUGUUAGACCCUUUCCGGGGUUUAGUGCCGCAGCUAACGCAUUAAGCACUCCGCCUGGGGAGUACGACCGCAAGGUUGAAACUCAAAGGAAUUGACGGGGGCCCGCACAAGCGGUGGAGC